UUUCAAGAGCCCUGCAUCAGACACGUACGUAGUCUUUGGUGAGGCCAAGAUCGAGGACCUGAGCUCUCAGCUGCAGACACAGGCCGCUGAACAGUUCAAGGCCCCCGAUAUGAGUCAUGUACUCUCGAAGGCUGUAGCAUCAUCAGCAGCCCAGGACGAUGAAGAAGUCGAUGAGGCAGGGGUUGAGCCGAAGGAUAUUGAACUGGUGAUGACCCAGGCAGGGGUGUCGAGGCCCAAGGCUGUCAAGGCGCUCAAAGCCGCAGAUGGCGAUAUUGUCACUGCUAUCAUGGAGCUGACCAAUUAAUAGAAAGAGAAUCUGGGAGAUGUUUCUAUUAGUAAAUGGUACUGCCCUUGUUGGUCAAUUAAGUUUUGGCUGUUUAUUGGGUUGAACUGUUACACAAAGAUUCCCUUUAUUUCUGUUGUAAAAUGUACUUUUUUACAAAGC
rnacentral:misc_RNA from 1 species